rnacentral:rRNA from 1 species
UACGUAGGAUGCAAGCGUUGUCCGGAUUUACUGGGCGUAAAGCGUGUGUAGGCGGAUCGUUAAGUGUCUUGUGAAAUCCCACGGCUCACCCGUGGAACUGCUGGGCAUACUGGCGAUCUUGGGCCAACUAGGGGCAACUGGAACAAGCGGUGGAGCGGUGAAAUGCGUAGAUAUCGCUUGGAACGCCAAAGGUGAAAACAGGUUGCUGGGGUUGUGCCGACGCUGAGACACGAAAGCCAGGGGAGCAAACGGG